GGCUUUGUGGUGCAGUGUUCAGCACGCUCGGCCCGUAUUCGAGAGGCCGUGGUUCGAGUCCCAGCGAGGGCU
rnacentral:tRNA from 1 species